rnacentral:rRNA from 1 species
GUGAGGAAUAUUGGGCAAUGGGCGCAAGCCUGACCCAGCCAUGCCGCGUGAAGGUAGAAGGCCCUAUGGGUUGUAAACUUCUUUUAUACGGGAAGAAACUUCCGAACGUGUUCGGAAUUGACUGUACCGUAGGAAUAAGCAUCGGCUAACUCCGUGCCAGCAGCCGCGGUAAUACGGAGGAUGCAAGCGUUAUCCGGAUUUAUUGGGUUUAAAGGGUGCGUAGGCGGAAUGAUAAGUCAGUGGUGAAAGCCUGCGGCUUAACCGUAGAACUGCCAUUGAUACUGUUGUUCUUGAGUAUAGUUGAGGUGGGCGGAAUGUGUAAUGUAGCGGUGAAAUGCUUAGAUAUUACACAGAACACCGAUUGCGAAGGCAGCUCACUAAGCUGUUACUGACGCUGAGGCACGAAAGCGUGGGGAGCAAACAGGAUUAGAAACCCGAGUAGUCC